GAACGCUAGCUACAGGCUUAACACAUGCAAGUCGAGGGAAACGAUAGAGAAAGCUUGCUUUUUCUAGGCGUCGACCGGCGCACGGGUGAGUAACGCGUAUCCAACCUGCCCAUCACUUGGGGAUAACCUUGCGAAAGUAAGACUAAUACCCAAUGAUAUCUCUAGAAGACAUCUGAAAGAGAUUAAAGAUUUAUCGGUGAUGGAUGGGGAUGCGUCUGAUUAGCUUGUUGGCGGGGUAACGGCCCACCAAGGCGACGAUCAGUAGGGGUUCUGAGAGGAAGGUCCCCCACAUUGGAACUGAGACACGGUCCAAACUCCUACGGGAGGCAGCAGUGAGGAAUAUUGGUCAAUGGACGAGAGUCUGAACCAGCCAAGUAGCGUGCAGGAUGACGGCCCUAUGGGUUGUAGACUGCUUUUAUAAGGGAAUAAAGUGAGUCUCGUGAGACUUUUUGCAUGUACCUUAUGAAUAAGGACCGGCUAAUUCCGUG
rnacentral:rRNA from 1 species